GUUUGAUAGCCACAGAUACGGGGUAAAUGUAUUGAAAAUUUGCUGCACCGGUUAUGGGAAAAACGAACGCGCUCUUUUUUCAGCUCUAGCAGCUGCAGCUUCUCAGUAGAAUCAGGAGAGGGCGCCCACGGACCUGUCUUUGCCUCGCUCCUAGCAAAGCCUCGCGACCGGGUAAGCCCUGGAACAGUGACUUCUUUCUAAUGCAGAAGUGAAUGACAAAUAUACGAAAAAAAGACUUCAAAAGACUGUGGUAUCAAAGUGGCAGUUAAAGAGAAGGCAGCGCUCAGAGGCGCAGCUGCAGAGGGCAGCGGCGGCGGCUACAUCAGCAUCCGAAAAUUCCGGAAGCAUCUCGAGUUGAAGCUUCCCCCCGCGCCACCCCCUGCAGCAUUUCUUCGAACCCUUUUCUUUGAUACACGAUUCACCAGAUUUCUUCUGUACAUGGGGACAGCUCCUAUGGUGGAAAAUGGCAAUUUACAUGGGAUAAGACUUCUACCUGACCUUACCUGUGUGUCCUCUGCAAGCUUAUCCAGUAAUUGCAAAAAUCAAUGUGUCACACGUCACUUCCCUGGAAAGCAGCGCUGAGGAUCUAUCAGUCACCAGCAACUGCAACAGACGUCAUUCAUGUCACCUGCACCUUUCUCCUUUGUCCUCUCCAGCUCUCUCAGCCUAAAGGAGAGAAGCCUGGGUGAGUGUCUCCUCACUGGGCCCUGCUUAUCUGACAGCAAUCAAUGGAUAUUUAGCAAACAUUCAUAAUGAACACCUGACCCUGUGUUGGGUGUUAGCUCCCAUCUUGCAAGCCUUUGCUGUAGUUUAUUCCCUCUUCCUGGAAGGUUCUCCUCAGCAAUCUUCAUCUGACUAGUUUCAUCUUGUCAUGCAAAAUCUUAACUAAGGUUUUCAACAUCACCACCGCAAAAACAUCUUCUUUCUGGACAUGGGGACACAGCAGAAGGUGAGGAUGGGAUGAGCGGA
rnacentral:lncRNA from 1 species